GAUGAACGCUGGCGGCGUGCCUAAUACAUGCAAGUCGAGCGAACGGACGAGAGGCUUGCGUCUCUGAUGUUAGCGGCGGACGGGUGAGGAACACGUGGAUAACCUACCUAUAAGACUGGGAUAAUUUCGGGAAACCGUAGCUAAUAGCGGAUAAUAUUUUGAACCUCAUGGGUCAAAAGUGAAAUACGGUCUUGCUGUCACUUAUAGAUGGAUCCGCGCUGCAUUAGCUAGUUGGUAAGGUAACGGCUUACCAAGGCAACGAUGCAUAGCCGACCUGAGAGCGACAUUGACUAGCCUGUAAGUGAGGCACGCUACCCACUCCUACGGUAGGACACAGUCGGGACUCCUACGCAAUGGACGAGAGCCUAACGGAGCAACGCCGCGUGAGUGAUGACGGUCUCCGGCUCGUAAAACUAUGUUAGUCGGAGAAAACAAAUGUGUUUGCAACUGUGCACAUCUUGACGGUACCUAAACAGAAAGCCCCGGCUAACUACGUG
rnacentral:rRNA from 1 species